rnacentral:other from 1 species
GAUUUCCUGCGAUGUUCGUUACGGUUUAAGUUGUUUUGAACCAAUGACUGUUUCUUGGGAGACCAAUAUCGAAUCGCGGCUGUCACGCCCCCAAAAGGGGACUUCAAAAGCGGUUUUGCGGACACCCACCUGCGAGAGCGGGUUUGAAACGCCAAAUCGGACGGCAUAGGCGGGUUUUUG